GCCAGUCGCGGUGGCACACGCCUGUUAUUCCAGCUGCGUGGGAGGCUAAGGCUGGCGGGUCACUUGCACUUAGGAGCUCUGGGCUGCAGGGGGCUGUGCCAAUCAGGUGUCCGCACUAAGUUCGGCAUCAAUAGGGGGAAUCUCUGGGAAGCUGGGAGUCCCCAGGUUACCUAAGGGGGGGUGAACCGGCCCAGGUCAGAAAUGGAGCAAGUCAAAGCUCCUGUGCGGAGCCUGUGAAAAGUCCCUGCAGUGCAGCCUGGGCACAGUGAGACACAGUCUCUC
rfam:Pelodiscus sinensis unplaced genomic scaffold scaffold1269, whole genome shotgun sequence.